rnacentral:misc_RNA from 1 species
AGUCGUAACAAGGUUUCCGUAGGUGAACCUGCGGAAGGAUCAUUACCGAGUGAGGGCCCUCUGGGUCCAACCUCCCACCCGUGUUUAUCAUACCUAGUUGCUUCGGCGGGCCCGCCGUCAGGCCGCCGGGGGGCAUCCGCCCCCGGGCCCGCGCCCGCCGAAGCCCCCCUGAACGCUGUCUGAAGAUUGCAGUCUGAGCGAUUAGCUAAAUCAGUUAAAACUUUCAACAACGGAUCUCUUGGUUCCGGCAUCGAUGAAGAACGCAGCGAAAUGCGAUAAGUAAUGUGAAUUGCAGAAUUCAGUGAAUCAUCGAGUCUUUGAACGCACAUUGCGCCCCCUGGUAUUCCGGGGGGCAUGCCUGUCCGAGCGUCAUUGCUGCCCUCAAGCACGGCUUGUGUGUUGGGCCCCCGCCCCCCGGCUCCCGGGGGGCGGGCCCGAAAGGCAGCGGCGGCACCGCGUCCGGUCCUCGAGCGUAUGGGGCUUCGUCACCCGCUCUGUAGGCCCGGCCGGCGCCCGCCGGCGACCCCCCUCAAUCUUUCUCAGGUUGACCUCGGAUCAGGUAGGGAUACCCGCUGAACUUAAGCAUAUCAAUAAGCGGAGGA